rnacentral:rRNA from 1 species
CGUAUGGGGCGAGCGUUGUCCGGAAUUAUUGGGCGUAAAGGGUACGCAGGCGGUUUACCAAGUUGGAUGUGAAAUCUUGUAGCUCAACUACAAACGUGCAUCCAAAACUGGCUAAACUUGAGUUAAGGAGAGGUAAGUGGAAUUCCUGGUGUAGCGGUGGAAUGCGUAGAUAUCAGGAGGAAUACCGGUGGCGAAGGCGACUUACUGGACUUAUACUGACGCUGAGGUACGAAAGCGUGGGGAGCAAACAGGAUU